AGUAAAGCCAUCUCCUCCGCGUGCAUGAACGGGGCCCGGGGGGCUUUGCUCCCACUGCUACCCACUGCAACAGGAGAAGGCUGUUAUUGAUGAGGAAAGGAGAAUAGUGGUUACAUCCUUGAUCAUUUUGGAUCCUGGAACCAGGUACCACCCGGCCAACAAGCCAAGAGCUGCUCGUGUCCCCAGUGGCCUAGGCCUGCUCUCCAAUGGUCCACAGUGGUCAAGUUAUGUAAUCAAGGUCUCUUGCAGCAAAUGGGACAUCAAAACCUAGUGUUAAAAUCCUCAAAGCUUUAAAAGCC